AUCCUACACACACUAGCUUUUUAUUUUCCUAUAUAUACAGUUUAUUUGCCUCAAAGUAAACACAAGGAUUUCAGAACAUUUCUCCAAUAAUGUCUUCCAAAAAAAAUUGUGUACCUUGAUGAGAUUAUGUCAUUGAAAACAACUUGGUUGAUUGAAGGCAAAGUCAUCGACACCUGCAAACAAAAAAAUGUCGAUCUUGGUGAGACUUCAGAGAUAAUAUUUGCAGACAAAAGGUAAUACUGAGCAUUUUUAAGUUUGCAGUUUAAGUUUGACCAUAACUAUUGGUACUGGUGUAGAUCAUUUUUAAGUUUGCAGUUUAUAUUUGACCAUAACUAUUGGGAAUGGAUAUGAGUUUAAAAACUGAAUUCACCUUAUGAAAUAUCAGACAUCGUUGGAUAAGCCAUAGAUGUUGGAGAGCUUCAGAUUCUACAAUCGAAUGGAAAUGAGUUUAAAAAUCGAGUUCAUCUUAAGAAACACCAGUGAUGUGCGCAUUCCAUGUUGUUUGUGAGGGAAGUUUGCUGAAGAAAUGAAAUCACAUAGAGAAGAAGCACAAUUUGGAGUGGUUGUGUGUUUGCUAAAAUCGGGUCAUUUAGCUAACUCUGAGAUUCAAUAGAAAGUUGACACUUGGGAAGAAUGUGAGGAAAAAAACAUGGCAUUUUGUAUCACAAACCAUUAGUUAAUAAGCUAUUGUGUUCGUUGAUUUUUUUUUAGUUUGUACGAGAGAUCAAUAAGAAACAUAUGUAACAUUUGAUUUACCUUAAAGGAUCGGAUUAAGUACUUCGGUCGUCCUCUUCUUCUCUACCAAAGAUGAUCGACAUUUGAGAGAGCGUUUGUUGUUUAUUUUUGUUGUUCAGUAUGGCAGUAUACUGAAGUAUAAAAAAUAGUGUAUUUGCCAGAUAAUUUGAUGG